UUUCCGUAGGUGAACCUGCGGAAGGAUCAUUCAUAAUAAGUGUUUUAUGGCACUUUUUUAAAUCCAUAUCCACCUUGUGUGCAAUGUCAGGGUUGAUUUUUCUCUCGAGAGGAUCAACCCCAAACAUCAACUAUAUCUCAACUCUUUGUCUGAAGAAUAUUAUGAAUAAAACAAUUCAAAAUACAACUUUCAACAACGGAUCUCUUGGCUCCC
rnacentral:misc_RNA from 1 species